CGGACGAGGGAGGUGGACUUGAGAGCUGCGGUGGUGACAUCGCUCUCUUGAAAUGUAUCAGUAGACUCUGUUCAUGUGUCGCGUCGGUGUGAUAAUUGUCUUCACUGCUYGCUCUCCGGAGUGACGCGCAUGUUCGGAAGGUCCGCUUCGAACCGUCUUCGGACACCUUUUGACAACUUGACCUCAAAUCGGGUAGGACUACCCGCUGAACUUAAGCAUAUCAAUAAGCGGAGGAAAAGAAACUAACAAGGAUUCCCCUAGUAACGGCGAGUGAAGAGGGAAGAGCUCAAAUUUUGAAUCUGGCGUCUUCGGCGUCCGAGUUGUAAUCUAGAGAAGUGUUUUCCGCGGUGGACCGUGCACAAGUCUCCUGGAACGGGGCGUCAUAGAGGGUGAGAAUCCCGUAUAUGGCACGGACUCCCAUUGCUAUGUGAUACACUCUCCACGAGUCGAGUUGUUUGGGAAUGCAGCUCAAAACGGGUGGUAAAUUCCAUCUAAAGCUAAAUAUUGGCGAGAGACCGAUAGCGAACAAGUACCGUGAGGGAAAGAUGAAAAGCACUUUGGAAAGAGAGUGAAACAGUACGUGAAAUUGUUGAAAGGGAAACGCUUGAAGUCAGUCAUGCUCGUCGGGACUCAGCCUUGCUUCUGCUUGGUGUACUUUCCGGCGAGCGGGUCAGCAUCAAUUUUGACCAAGGGAAAAAGGUGUCGGGAAUGUGACAGCGUUCGCGCUGUGUUAUAGCCCUUCAUUGUAUAUCUUGGUUGGGAUUGAGGACUGCAGCGCGCCUUCAUCGGCCGGGGGUCGCUCCCACGAUUGCGCUUAGGAUGCUGGCAUAAUGGCUUUAAGCGACC
rnacentral:rRNA from 1 species